GCCGGGUGUGGUGGCACGUGCCUGUAGUCCCAGCUACCAGGGAGGCUGAGUUGGGAGGAUCACUUGAGUCCAGGAGUUCUGGGCUGCAGUGUACUAUACCCACCCAGUGUCUGCACCAAGUUCAGCAUCAAUAUGGUGACUUCCCACAAGUGGAGGACCACCAGGGUGUCUAAGGAGGGGUGAACCAGCCCAGAUCGGAAACAGAGCAGGGUAAAAUUCCCAUGCUGAAUUUUACUUAAUAGUGAUAUUCUGGAAUUGGGCUGAAAGAGAUGUUGAUGUAUACAUGUCUUACAUACAAGUUGGGACCCAACAU
rnacentral:SRP_RNA from 1 species